rnacentral:rRNA from 1 species
GUAGGGAAUAUUGCUUAAUGGGCGAAAGCCUGAAGCAGCAACGCCGCGUGUGCGAUGAAGGCCUUCGGGUUGUAAAGCACUUUUUGAGGGGAUGAGGAAGGACAGUACCCUCAGAAUAAGUCUCGGCUAACUACGUGCCAGCAGCCGCGGUAAAACGUAGGAGGCGAGCGUUAUCCGGAUUUACUGGGCGUAAAGCGCGUGCAGGCGGCUCGAAAAGUUGGAUGUGAAAGCUCCUGGCUUAACUGGGAGAGGUCGUUCAAUACUUUCGGGCUUGAGGAUGGGAGAGGGAGGUGGAAUUCCGGGUGUAGUGGUGAAAUGCGUAGAUAUCCGGAGGAACACCAGUGGCGAAGGCGGCCUCCUGGCCCAUUUCUGACGCUCAGACGCGAAAGCUAGGGUAGCAAACGGGAUUAGAUACCCUGGUAGUCC